UACAGAGGGUGCGAGCGUUAAUCGGAAUUACUGGGCGUAAAGGGUGCGUAGGUGGUUGAAUAAGUUGAGUGUGAAAGUCCUGGGCUUAACCUGGGGAUUGCGCUUGAUACUGUUUAGCUAGAGUACUGUAGAGGAAGGUGGAAUUUCCGGUGUAGCGGUGAAAUGCGUAGAUAUCGGAAGGAACAUCAGUGGCGAAGGCGACUUUCUGGACAGAUACUGACACUGAGGCACGAAAGCAUGGGUAGCAAACAGG
rnacentral:rRNA from 1 species